UUGCCCUGGAAGAGGUGGUCUCCACUGAUAUAUCCCUUAAACAAUGUAAUAUGGAGUCUCCUAUUGCCCUGGAAGAGGUUGUCUCCACUGAUAUAUCCCUUAAACAAUGUAAUAUGGAGUCUCCUAUUGCCCUGGAAGAGGUGGUCUCCACUGAUAUAUCCCUUAAACAAUGUAAUAUGGUGUCUCCUAUUGCCCUGGAAGAGGUGGUCUCCACUGAUAUAUCCCUUAAACAAUGUAAUAUGGAGUCUCCUAUUGCCCUGGAAGAGGUGGUCUCCACUGAUAUAUCCCUUAAACAAUGUAAUAUGGAGUCUCCUAUUGCCCUGGAAGAGGUGGUCUCCACUGAUAUAUCCCUUAAACAAUGUAAUAUGGAGUCUCCUAUUGCCCUGGAAGAGGUGGUCUCCACUGAUAUAUCCCUUAAACCAUGUAAUAUGGUGUCUCCUAUUGCCCUGGAAGAGGUUCUCUACUGAUAUAUCCCUUAAACCAUGUAAUAUGGUGUCUCCUAUUGCCCUGGAAGAGGUGGUCUCCACUGAUAUAUCCCUUAAACAAUGUAAUAUGGAGUCUCCUAUUGCCCUGGAAGAGGUGGUCUCCACUGAUAUAUCCCUUAAACCAUGUAAUAUGGUGUCUCCUAUUGCCCUGGAAGAGGUGGUCUCCACUGAUAUAUCCCUUAAACAAUGUAAUAUGGAGUCUCCUAUUGCCCUGGAAGAGGUGGUCUCCACUGAUAUAUCCCUUAAACAAUGUAAUAUGGAGUCUCCUAUUGCCCUGGAAGAGGUGGUCUCCACUGAUAUAUCCCUUAAACCAUGUAAUAUGGUGUCUCCUA